GCCGGGAUAGCUCAGCUGGGAGAGCAACAGACUGAAGAUUUGGAUUUCAAUCUGAGUUCUGGAGGUCGCGUGUUCAAUCCACGCUCCUGGCA
rfam:Postia placenta Mad-698-R POSPLscaffold_109_Cont4936, whole genome shotgun sequence.